CCGGGGCGGCCGGCAACGGCGCAUCUGGAUCUGGAUCGGAGCCAGCGGACGGCAGCGGGCGCGAGGCGCGCGACGGUGCUACGGGGCAGGAUGCGAGGGGGGCGACGACAGAUGGCUUGAAUGGUGGAGGUGGCAGCGGCGGGGUAUGCGCGAGCGUCGCGAGAGCGGGUGCCAUGGUCACUCACUGACGGAGAACCACGAAACUUUCAGCCUGAGCACCGAUCCCCUUUUCUCUACCUCCGGCGCCCAAGUUCGCUGCCGCCUCCGCCGUCUUCGCGCGCCGCCGGCCACCUACUCGAGCUCCUCUCCCGAUCCUCCGGCGGUCUGGUCAAACCAGCCACUUACUUUCCCUCUCCCUUGGGUUUGUCCCUUCUGACAUCUUAUUAAACAGUGACGGGUUGACUGAGAUCUGAAUGCGGCGAUCGGCUGAUCACUGGAGCAAUCUGCUUCUUCGAGAUGAUUGCUUUGGCUCUUGAGUUUCAUUUCUUGCUCAAGGAUUGGUUUUGAAAGCCUGCAAGUUUGCAACACUUCCCAAGGAAUCACUGUAUUUUUGGUGGAUCAACCUCAUCAAGUUUGCCUCAUGGCAGCCAUACUGGGUUCUCUUGUUGGAUCAUGUGCCAAAAAAUUGCAAGAAGUUAUUACAGAAGAGGCUGUUCUGAUUCUAGGGGUAAAAGAAGACCUCAGAGAACUGCAUCGGAUAAUGAUCCAAAUACGAUGCUUCCUUAAUGAUGCUGAGGCAAGGAGGACAGAAGAGACAUCAGUUAACAAUUGGCUUGGGGAGCUAAGAGAUGCUAUGUAUUAUGCUGAUGAUAUUAUUGACCUGGCAAGAUCUGAAGGAGGUAAGCGCUACUAGCGGAACGUCCUUCAUCAUCAGGAAAGCCAACUAAAUGUAGUGGUAUUUCGUUUUCCACCUGCAUUCCUGUUGUUCAGAAGCGUCAUAAGAUUGCUGUUCAAAUACGAGACUUCAAUGCCGAUCUUGAGAUUGAGAAGAUUUCAAAGUCGGGUGAAAGAUUUUUAAAGCUUCAGAAUAUGCAACCUAAAGCAGAAGUUCGGACUCUGAAGCAUAUGGGAACUAGUCACCUUGUGGAGCCUAAUCUUGUGGGAAAGCACACUUUACGUGUCAUCAGGGAUUUGCACAACUGGGAGGAUUGGUCCUUUAUUGAAGAUGCAGCAGGAGCAGCAGCCAUAGAAGAGUGUGGGGAUAUAUAUGCCGAGAUGCGAAAAGGGGAAGCCCUGUCUCCAAGGUUGCAUCUGCUGCCCCGGUUGAAGAAGAUGGAACUUGGGGGCUGCCCCAAGCUGAGGGCUCUCCCACGACAGCUUGGACGACAACAUGCCACCAGCUUGAAAGAGCUCCAUUUAAGAGGAGCAAGUUGCUUGAAGGUGGAGGAGGACCUCCAGUUCCUCUCUGAGAAACUUCUGAUUGUAGGUUGUGACUUGUGAGGGCCUGGAAAGAGUAUCGAACCUUCCUCAAGUGAGAGAGUUACGGCUACAUGAUUCUCCAAACCUGAGGCGUGUUGAGGGGUUGGGUAGUUUGCAACAGCUGUGGUUGACCAAGAAUAUGUGUGACAUCCCUUUGCUUUGGGUGUCGGGGCUUCAAGAGCAGCACCGCGAGCUUCACGGCGAAGACAUGGAUGUCUGCACGUGGUGUAAAGGCUGAGACAAACCCAGUGAGAUGGCAACAGAGACACGGAAUACACCCCUUUCAGUAAGAAUGGCAAAAUGCCCUGGCAGAAGCACAACAAAGCGACAUGUGUCCCUUUCCGCCAAUGCUCAUGGUGGAAAGCACUUUCCGCCAUACCUUAUGGCGGAAUGUACACGUGUCAUCUGACCAGAAGUCAUGAGUGACAAGAAGAAGUCAGCAAAGAAAUGGCAAGAGAAGCUAGAUAAGCAGUCAGAGAAAUCAGAAUAAAUGAAAAGAAAGAGAGAAGCUGCAUUUGUUCCACCAAAGG